ACAACAUCACAGAGCAUUCCUCUGUCCUGCUGGCAAGGACAGCAGCAUGACGCACAGUUAUAACAUAACCCAGUCUGUGCGUAGUAAAACCCAGGCAACCACCAUAAAAUGCAAAGCACACUGGAUUUCUUCUGUCACAAACUUCCAGCAAAAAAUGUAAAACAUCUCAAGAUGUGGGCAUGAGAAGUCGGCAAGCAUGCAGUUGCUGAUCUUUAGAUACUGUUGUAAGAUGCUUUCUUUUCAAACAUUUUCGUUUCUCAAACAUGUUCUUUCAUCUUUCGCUGUCACUUGCAACCACUAAUCGGCUCCUUCUGGCAUCAAGCAAUCCUGUGGUGUGCAAAGCUCCAUUAGUCUUUUAUUCCUUAUUUUACAUCAGUAAGUCGGAUAGAGUAUGGAAUUCUGGGAAGAAAUUUUCUUCUGUGUGA
rnacentral:lncRNA from 1 species